ensembl:lincRNA
GAAGAAGGAAAGCCGACUCACCUUUUACCAUUAAAGAGUGUAAUUACCAUUUGACUGGGCAGGAGGAAAUGGGGCUCCAUACCCAGAGGCUCUGUUCAUCUGGCCCAGCCAAAACCACAUAAAGCCAGAAGGGGAACAGGAGAAGGAGCGUAAUGGUGGUGCAUGGAGGGACUCCAGCGGGCCGUCGUUUUACUGUUACCUGAGAGCGCAGCUCACUCCUCCUGCCAUUCAGGACAAUGAGCUGCCAAACACACAAAGACGGCGGGAGGAAAUGGCUGGGAAAAAAAAGAACAGAAGAGGAGAGAGAAACAUGAGUUGGAAUGAGAAAGUCAUGUUCAGUCCAGCUCGCUGAAAGACUUUCAUCUAGACUACAACAUAAACCAAGAAGACAACACCAAGAUUUAUUGUGCUCAAAUUGCGAAAGAGUUCAGGGAGCAUGAGACAUGGAUUGGUCAACACAGAGUCCAGAUCUUAACCCUAUUGAGAAUCUUUGGGAUGUGCUGGAGAGGACUUUGCACAACAGUCAGACUCUUCCAUCAUCAAUGCAAUAUCUUUGGACCUUUGGAUUUGUUUUUAUAUACAAAUAUACAUUUUAAAAUAUCUUGCAUCAACAGAAUAAACUGUUACAAUGUCCCAAACUAAAAUGUAUAACAAAACUGUAGGACAGAAUUCACAAACUCAAUAAAUUUAGUUGCAGGUCGUGUGACAAGCCACAAUCACUCAUACACCAUGCAAACAAGUUGGCAUGUGGAGAAAAUGGUCAGUUGUUUACACAUCGCACUUUGAAUGCCUUGUGGAGCCAAGUCUACACCACAGGCCCAAAUAAGAACAAAUCUAGAUCACCCAUUUUCACACACUCUACAGCAAAUCCACAAAUUUACCCCACCACAUCUUUAGAGAGGACUUCAAAACCAAAACAUUUCUCGAGUUUGCGUCAAUCCACCAAGUAAGAAUGUAAACAGGCAUUCCCUGCUGCAAAAGCCCCUAUCUUCAGUACAGCAAGAGGAAUCAGACCCCUGUAAGUACAACAGGCCUCGGUUAUGACCCUCUAAAGUUGGCACACCCUCUCCUUUGCACAUUUCACAUUCCUCAAACACAAUCACACUUCCCCUCCACCUCUAGAGUUCUAGGAAAACAGCAAACGAGAAUCCAGCACAAUCAACAGCUCAAAGGAAUGUCAGCUUAUGUUGGCAGAUCCAGAUAAGAAGCACUAAGCUGCUACAGCAUAAUAAUAUAAACCAUUAGGAGGGAAAAUGGGUCUAUUUUGUUGCUUUUUAACAGGAAAAAACUGUGAAGAAAAACAGUGAAAUGCAUUCAUAUGUAGAAGAUUAAAAUCACUUCAAGGCCAUUUAGCUAUUGUGGUAGAGGAAUUUAGGAAUGAUGAAUAUUCCACAUCCACGCAACACACCAACACACAAAUACUGUAUUUUUCAGCUGCCAAAGAGAAUUACCAUUUCUGAUCAUAUUUCUCAAAUCUUUCAUGACCCACACAAUAUUCGGAUGAACUCUACCAGUCAAAAGUUUGGCGUCAGUACGAUUUUUUAAAUAUUUUACAAUAAGAUUAUCCUGCUCACCAAGACUUUUUUUUACCAAAAAUGCAAUAAAAAUAGCUUAUAAUUUAAUUAUAAUGUAAUAAUUUAUUCCAGUGAUUUUAACAGUGAUUUUUUUAUCUUCAUUACUGCAGCCUUCAGAGUCACAUGAUCCUUC